UUUGUAUUUUCAAUUUUUCAGAUAAUUUUGUGAAAAGUCAGAUUUUGUUAAAAAAAUCAUCAAGAUGAACACAGCUAUUCUCCUCAUUGUCUUGCCAUGCAUUGUUGCCAUAGCAACCGUAUAUGGGCAACAAUACGGAUAUGGACAACAAUACGGAUAUGGGCAACAAUUGGGAUAUGGACAACAAAUGGGAUAUGGACAAAGAAACGUUGCCCAGUAUGCAGCUUAUGCAGCCAACAGCCAACAAGCAGUCAAACAAGCUAGACUCUUCAACUAUCUUCUUGGAGGACUCUAUUUCCUCAACCUGUUCAACUUCACUGGAAACAAAAUCGCCGGUUAGAUUUGACCCUACAAUUUCUGACUAGACUUAUAAUGUUGACAAAGAAAUAACCCCUGUCAGCAGACGACUUUAUGGAAAAUGGCGGGAGGGAAAAAAUGAAAAUAAAAUUUUUGAAAACGUAUAUAA